CAAUGAGACAGUAACCAAUCAAUGAAACAUGUCAAAAUGGUCCCAUAUGUCAAUGAGACAGUAACCAAUCAAAGAAACAUGUCAAAAUGGUCCCAUAUGUCAGUGAGACAGUAACCAAUCAAUGAAACAUGUCAAAAUGGUCAAAUAUGUCAAUGAGACAGUAACCAAUCGAAGAAACAUGUCAAAAUGGUCCCAUAUGUCAAUGAGACAGUAACCAAUCAAUGAAACAUGUCAAAAUGGUCUCAUAUGUCAACGAGACAGUAACCAAUCAAAG
rnacentral:lncRNA from 1 species